ACAUUUCAAUUCCCUCAUUCUAUUGCCCACCAAAGUCUGCCCCCCCCCCCCCAAGCCGAGGCACAUCUUAGCUGCAGGACACAAGUGUAGAUCUCCUCCUUUUCUUCCUCUGCAGCAAGCCCAAUGCCUCCAGGGGACUGAAAUCCCCGUGGUACCCCUAAGCCAGUCCCUGUCCCCUGCCAGUGCAGUCCAUGGCAAUGUGGGCACUCAGAGUUAGUCACAGUCUACUGGACCCCCACCACAAAUAAUCCGCAGACAGCUCAACUCCUGCACCUCCCUGUGCCACUUCAGCUCCUGUCUGGCGUGAAUUGCCUCAAGUCUCACCCAGCUCCGGCCACACACUUGUUGUCAGUGGGCUUCACCUCCAGUCACCGGUACGCCGAAGGAUCGUGCAGACCGGCCCCAAAGGGCUCUCAGAACCAGGGAGUAUUUGCUCCAGGCCACUCCUCAAACCUAGAGACAGAGGCCUCCACCACAGCAGUGGCCACGCGGCAGGAGAGCCACCCCUGAGGGAACUUUAACAUGCAGCAGGUCUUCACUGCGGGUAUGUAUUAAUUUUCUGUCCCCCAGGCAAAUGUGUGAGUAUGUGUGUGGCACUCAGAGCAGGACAGCUGGGGAGGGACCAACUUGUGGAUGUGCCAUCAUCUCUAACACCAUCUCAGUCCAAACCUCCACAGCAAGGACCUGGAUCAACCCGCCGACCGGGGAGGAGGGGCCGGGCCGCCACUUGCUCCUCCCUGCACAUAUUACUGCUUUUCAUGGCAGUGUGGAUGCAAUCAGCCCUUCCGUGAACGCUAGUCGCAGGCUUCAGGGCCAUGUGCCCGGGUAGGCCCAAGAGUAGUGCGGCUCCAUCUGACUGGUGCACCCAGCGGCAGCACAGGAAUCGUAAGGGAGCUUAGGUGUUCCCCCACCCAAAUCAGUGAGUUGCAGACUUGUUUAAUGAUCAUAAAAUUUGCCCUUUGAAGAGGUUUGAGUCCGGAGCCACGGGAGAUGGCUGCCGCUCAGGUCAGCGGCAUGGCCUGCCCCCAAUGUCUGAUAUUCUAACACUUCUUUUGUGUGAAAUACUCUCUGCAGACUUGAUUUUAAGAUUAUGCACCAAUGUUAUCCCAGCAAUUUUACAUAUUUAACAUAACAUAAUAAUAUUUUUAUUAGUGAUAUUGCAGAAGGUCUUGAUGGUAAGGUAUGUCUUUUUGCUGAUGAUACUAAGAUAUGUAACAGGGUUGAUGUUUCAGGAGGGAUAAACCAAAUGACAAAUGAUUUAGGUAAACUAGAAAAAUGGUCAGAAUUGUGGCAACUGACAUUUAAUGUGGAUAAGUGCAAGAUAAUGCAUCUUGGAUGUAAAAACCAAAGGGCAGAGUACAGAAUAUUUGAUAGAGUCCUAACCUCAACAUAUGAGGAAAGGGAUUUAGGGGUGAUUACUUCUGAUGACUUAAAGGUAGGCAGACAAUGUAAUAGAGCAGCAGGAAAUGCUAGCAGAAUGCUUGGUUGUAUAGGGAGAGGUAUUAGCAGUAGAAAGAGGGAAGUGCUCAUGCCAUUGUACAGAACACUGGUGAGACCUCAGUUUUGUACACAGUACUGGAGACCGUAUCUUCAGAAGGAUAUUGAUACCUUAGAGAGGGUUCAGAGAAGGGCUACUAAACUGGUUCAUG
rnacentral:lncRNA from 1 species